rnacentral:lncRNA from 1 species
UAAUUGCAAAGAUCAAACAUUUCAAGCACCUUUUCAAUGUAAUGUGUUUAUGAUAAAGCUAUAGUACUUUCCUCUCAAGUUAUUUUAAUCCCAAGUGUAGACCCAAUUUUUAGCCUGGGCCCAUAUAUAUACAAAAAUAAAGCAUAAAACAGCCCAAAAUAUUGGUCCAAAAUACAAACCCCAAAUAAACCAAAUUGUAGUGGCCCAACUCCUUAACUGGCCCAAAUGGCCUAAGCCAAAAACACAAAAUUCCAGCAACCCUAAGGGUUCUGAAAACAAUUGGCGCCGUAGCCUCCCAUGAUCAGCACCCCACACACGUCAGCACGCCCACACACGAUCCCUGGCUCGCGCGUCCACUCCCCAUGAUCAUGCACUCCUCCACAGCUCUACAAUCUGUGAUAUUGAAGCAAGAAAACAGCAGAAACUGUUUGUACUUGGCUAUAAAGCCUUCAAUUUUUGAUUGUCAAAGGGAUUUUUUUUUUCCCUUUCUUUUCAAGAGAAACAAAAGACAGAUUGUAUACAAUACACAAAAAUCAGUAGAAAGCAACCAAAGAAUAUUUUCAAAGGUGAUUAUUUACAGCUUUAUUUUGUUUCUUUUUUUCCUUCUUUAUUCGGAUCUAAUACAAGCACAAAGUAUAAGAGAGAGAGGAAAGGUCUUGCUGGAGUUGUGCUCGUGUCGACGGCGGCUGUAGCAUGUGGGAUCUUUAACGGAGGGGGCGUUCGACGAAAGGGAGAAGAGGAGGUGUGAGUUGAGAGGAUAUCUCAAAAGCUUUAGGUUUUAAGAAAACAAACAAGAAUAAAAAUAUUUUUUAAAGCAAAAUUAUUGAAACAAGUUUUAAAUUAAAGUAAUAAAAUGAAGGAAAUUGGGGGAAGGAGCAGAACGCGUUUUGACUUGGUCUAUGCGCAUAAUCUCUUUAAA